CUGAUACAAGCUUAACUGCUGUAGAGGCGGAUGGCCGGAUUGUUGCCCCGCCCACUUUAAAAGUGAGCUAAGGGGUAUUUUACAUUGUUUUGUUUGAGCCUCAUUCACAAUUUUGCUCUCUUUAUUCUGGGCGACUCGUGAUGAUCACGGGAGGAAACACAAACAGGCGCUGAAACAUGUGGACGGAGGUGGGAGACAACAACAGCUCUGUUCAUGAAGAACCACAGGACCACAAUCUCACACAGAUAGUUUCCCCAGUGUCUUCAUGGCUCCGCUCCAACUCCGAUAGAAAUGGCUCAGCAGCUACCAGUCCACCCCCUCUUGCUGAGACCCCCAUGAACAGAGAGAGUGGAAUCAUACCAGGUACAAUCCCAGUAUCAGUUUUGACGGUCACAACAGAGUGCAACAGUGACCGAUCACUUUU
rnacentral:lncRNA from 1 species